CACACUCAGCAAGUCAGCCCGGUAACUUCAUCCGAAUCCAAAAUUGUCUGGUCCAACCACUAACUUCAUCCUCUUCUUCAUCCGAAUCCGACCACCACCACCGCCUAUCGUUCUCUCUCUAAGUUACUCAGAGACGAAGAGAGAAAAAACAUGAACUCCCGCUUCACGACCCUAGGCCGAACCCUAAAAUCGACCUCAAAAAAGCUCUUCUCAUCUUCCACCCAAUCCACAUCCACCAGUUCCCAAUUCCCUCAAACUCUAGCGGGGCUCCGAGCUCGAUUGGCCGCCGAAUCCCCCUCACUCACCGAUUUCGCCGAGGAUCUCAACUCCAAUAGCCCUUAUUCCGUCGAGGUUGGGACCAAGAAGAAUCCCCUUCCCAAGCCCAAAUGGAUGAAGGAGGCCGUCCCCGGAGGCCAGAAGUAUGUCCAGAUUAAGAAAAAGCUCAGGGAAUUGAAUCUCCAUACCGUGUGCGAGGAGGCUCGAUGCCCCAAUCUCGGCGAGUGUUGGUCCGGCGGUGAGACCGGCACUGCCACAGCCACGAUCAUGAUUCUCGGUGAUACUUGUACUCGGGGUUGCAGGUUCUGCAAUGUGAAGACUUCAAGAACGCCGCCUCCACCUGAUCCUAAUGAGCCCACCAAUGUGGCAGAGGCGAUUGCGUCGUGGGGGUUGGAUUACGUGGUGAUCACUAGUGUGGACCGGGAUGAUUUACCUGAUCAGGGGAGUGGUCAUUUUGCCGAGACGGUGCAGAAGUUGAAAGAACUGAAGCCAAAUAUGCUCAUAGAGGCAUUGGUUCCUGAUUUUCGAGGAGACAGCACGUGUGUUGAGAAAGUUGCAAGGUCCGGGCUAGAUGUAUUUGCUCACAAUAUUGAAACAGUUAAGGAGCUUCAGAAGGUAGUGCGGGAUCAUCGGGCAAAUUUUGAGCAAUCUCUAGAAGUUCUCGUGAUGGCUAAAGACCAAGCUCCUGCUGGAACGCUUACAAAGACUUCAAUAAUGUUAGGCUGCGGGGAAACACCUGAUCAAGUUAUGAAGACGAUGGAGAAGGUGAGAGCUGCUGGUGUUGAUGUGAUGACAUUUGGUCAAUAUAUGCGACCUUCCAAGCGUCAUAUGCCUGUUUCUGAAUAUAUUACCCCUGAAGCUUUUGAGAAGUAUCGCGUCCUCGGCAUGGAUAUGGGAUUUCGUUAUGUGGCUUCUGGUCCUAUGGUCAGGUCAUCAUACAAAGCAGGUGAAUACUACAUCAAGUCCAUGAUAGAAUCUGAUCGAGCUGCAUCCUCUUCUUAACUUUUCUCAAGUGACUAAGAGGUUCCUCACCCUUUUCUACCCUCUUGUACGUAAUUUUUUUAUUGUAUCAAUUCAUAAAUGGUGCCCUCGGGUCUAUUUGUACAACCAAUGAUUUACACAGGCUCGAGAUCACACACGGCCUCGUCAUUGUACAAUCGAGUUAUAGCUGUUGAUCUAAAGCAGACGGUUCAGGUUGAUAAAGAUCUUCAAAUCCGUGCAUAUUACGCAGGACAUGGAAAUUUCAUAACUGAAGUUCCUUGAGUCCUAAUUGUUUAAUAUCUGAAGGUUCUUGGAGCUGCAAUGUUCUAUGCAAAGGUAGGAGAUAGUGCUAUACUGUACACAGGAGACUAUAAUAUGACACCAGAUAGACAUCUUGGAGCUGCUCAAAUUGAUCGACUGCAUUUGGACCUUGUUAUAUCCGAGUCUACAUAUGCAACAACUAUACGUGACUCAAAAUACGGUCGAGAGAGGGAAUUCCUCAAAGCGAUUUUUGUCAUGUGUUGACAAUACUAUCAUCAAGCUGGAACUCUGCAUCCUGUUAGAAGAUUACUGGGAGCGAAUGAAUCUAAAGGUUCCUAUAUACUUCUCAGCAGGUUUAACUGUUCAAGCCAAUAUGUAUUAUAAAAUGCUUAUCAGUUGGACCAGCCAGAGGAUCAAGGAGACAUAUUUGACCCACAAUGCAUUUGAUUUCAAAUAUGUUAAAGAUUUUGACCGUUCAAUGAUAGAUGCGCCUGGACCCUGUGUUCUCUUUGCCACACCAGGAAUGAUAAGUGGUGGUUUUUUACUUGUGGUUUUUAAACAUUGGGCUCCUUCAGAAAUGAAUCUUAUUACACUGCCUGGGAAAGGAGGCUGGAAUAGGUGAUCGGGAACUUUGGAUCAAGAAGGGGAACAAAUCUGGAAAUAGCAUGUUGCUGUUCUAUUAAUGCUAUAGCAACCACAACGUAGCAAUCGGCAGGGACCAGUGAAGAAUCGUGACAAAUUCCAGCUGGACUUAAUGAAGAAUAAGUGAUGCCUAGGUGGCGAGGAUGUUGUACAAUGAGUCAGCUGGAUGGUGUGGCAGAGGACAAGAGGGCACAAUUGACUUUGACUUACUAAUUAGGGUAAACCAAGUACCCUAAAGAGGGGGCAGCCGAAAUAUUGCAGGGACGGAUCAUUUUUGGAGGAUUCUGACUAUUUUUUCACUAAGAAAAGUACAGAGAGAAGUAGAAAGAAAGAAAAAGAAGGGAGUACGAAAUAGGAGAGGAAAAAGAAGACAGACGCCUAAGGGGGACUAGAGCUCAACACUCAAUUCUCUCUAAUCUCUAUUUCUCUUUAAUUUUGUAUUAUUUUCUCAUCUCAAUUUCUGUUCAAACUCCAUGGAAAUAUUCUGUACUGGUUUUAUGUUUACAAUUUCAGCUAUGAACUAACACUCUAAAGAUUUGAGUGGUUAUGAACCCUUAUGUAUGAACUAAAUUUCUAAAUGCAUGGUGAAGUUGUUUA